ACGCUGGCUACAGGCUUAACACAUGCAAGUCGAGGGGAAACGACGGGGAAGCUUGCUUCCCCGGGCGUCGACCGGCGCACGGGUGAGUAACGCGUAUCCAACCUGCCUCUGACUGAGGGAUAACCCGUCGAAAGUCGGCCUAAUACCUCAUGGCAUCGUCUGCGGGCAUCCAACGACGAUUAAAGAUUUCAUCGGUCAGGGAUGGGGAUGCGUCUGAUUAGCUUGUUGGCGGGGUAACGGCCCACCAAGGCGACGAUCAGUAGGGGUUCUGAGAGGAAGGUCCCCCACAUUGGAACUGAGACACGGUCCAAACUCCUACGGGAGGCAGCAGUGAGGAAUAUUGGUCAAUGGGCGAAAGCCUGAACCAGCCAAGUAGCGUGCAGGAUGACGGCCCUAUGGGUUGUAAACUGCUUUUAUGCGGGGAUAAAGUGAGGGACGUGUCCAUCAUUGCAGGUACCGCAUGAAUAAGGACCGGCUAAUUCCGUGCCAGCAGCCGCGGUAAUACGGAAGGUCCGGGCGUUAUCCGGAUUUAUUGGGUUUAAAGGGAGCGUAGGCCGUGGAUUAAGCGUGUUGUGAAAUGCAGGUGCUCAACGUCUGCACUGCAGCGCGAACUGGUCCACUUGAGUGUGCGCAACGCAGGCGGAAUUCGCCGUGUAGCGGUGAAAUGCUUAGAUAUGACGAAGAACUCCGAUUGCGAAGGCAGCUUGCGGGAGCACAACUGACGCUGAAGCUCGAAAGUGCGGGUAUCGAACAGGAUUAGAUACCCUGGUAGUCCGCACGGUAAACGAUGGAUGCCCGUUGUCAGGCUGUUUCAGCCUGGUGACCAAGCGAAAGCAUUAAGCAUCCCACCUGGGGAGUACGCCGGCAACGGUGAAACUCAAGGAAUUGACGGGGGCCCGCACAAGCGGAG
rnacentral:rRNA from 1 species